CCUACGGGAGGCAACAGUGGGGGAUAUUGCACAAUGGGGGGAACCCUGAUGCAGCGACGCCGCGUGGGUGAAGGAGCGUUUCGGUACGUAAAGCUCUAUCAGCAGGGAAGAAAAUGACGGUACCUGACUAAGAAGCCCCGGCUAACUACGUGCCAGCAGCCGCGGUAAUACGUAGGGGGCAAGCGUUAUCCGGAUUUACUGGGUGUAAAGGGAGCGUAGACGGCAGCGCAAGUCUGGAGUGAAAUCCCAUGGCUUAACCAUGGAACUGCUUUGGAAACUGUGCAGCUAGAGUGCAGGAGAGGUAAGCGGAAUUCCUAGUGUAGCGGUGAAAUGCGUAGAUAUUAAGAGGAACACCAGUGGCGAAGGCGGCUUACUGGACUGUAACUGACGUUGAGGCUCGAAAGCGUGGGGAGCAAACAGGAUUAGAUACCCGUGUAGUC
rnacentral:rRNA from 1 species